AUUGUGGGAAAGUGAGCCCUUACACACAACACCCCAUGGACCCACACUCUACAGGCCCUAUAAACACGCACACACAUACUUUACAGCGCAGAAACACAUUAACACACUACAGCCCCAAGCUACACACAGUACAACACAGUUUCCUCUACACACAGGCAAUCCCACAAAACAAUGCACAUACUACACCAUAGGGAGCAUCCCCACAAAUGCACAACACAUCUUUAACAACUCUAUUCCACUUUUGUUCUCU